rnacentral:piRNA from 1 species
UCUCCUUAAAGGUGCUGAACGAUGUUGUU